AGCGGCAGGCCAACACAUGCAAGCGCGGGCGAGCACGGGAGCAAUACCUGGUGGCGACCGGCGCACGGGUGCGAACGCGUAUGCAACCUGCCCCCAUCAGGGGAAUAGCCCGCCGAAAGGCGGAUUAAUGCCCCAUAGGCCCAGGGCGCCGCAUGGCGCUAUGGGUAAAGCUCCGGCGGAUGGGGAUGGGCAUGCGUGCCAUUAGCUAGUUGGGCGGUAACGGCGCACCAAGGCGACGAUGGCUAGGGGGUCUGAGAGGAUGGUCCCCCACACUGGUACUGAGACACGGACCAGACUCCUACGGGAGGCAGCAGUGAGGAAUAUUGGUCAAUGGGCGGAAGCCUGAACCAGCCCAUGCCGCGUGCAGGAUGACGGCCCUACGGGUUGUAAACUGCUUUUCCCCGGGAAGAAUAAGCCCCUCGUGAGGGGUGAUGCCGGUACCGGGGGAAUAAGGAUCGGCUAACUCCGUGCCAGCCGCCGC
rnacentral:rRNA from 1 species